CAGGAGCUGUAUCUCAGGAAACCCUGCGGUCAAAUUGCCUCGAUUAUGGAUCACUGACAGUAUCCUGGUUCCAUAAGGCACACCAAAUUUCAAGAACCCCAAAGCAAGGACUUUCGACAGUUUUAUGUCUGCAGCAACCUGCAUCAUACCCAGAUGAAUUCAGCAACAGAUAAGUUCCUCUUCUGUCUGAAACUUUACUCAGGGAUCUGAGAGAGGCCCUUGGGUCUCUGCAUAGACAAUAUUAACUAUGUAGAAGAAGAAUGAAAUGAGGCAACCUAGGCACUGCAAUAAUCUUUGCAGAUGCAUGUUAUGAAGACUCCAUCAGUUAACAGAGAAUCUUGAAAUAGAUGUUAGCCUUUUUGGAAGGAAGACCUGAAGUCUCUGAUGUACCAAGGGCAUGAAUCCCUAGAAGUCUCUGCACCUUAGGACCUUUUUAGAACUAAAGAAGACUCAGCAAUCACUGUGCAGUUCCUAGAAGUCAAGCUAGACUUCCAUGGAACCGUGGUUGGAAAGUCCCAGAUUUGUUCAGAUCCAAGGACAACAGAUUCUUUAUGAACAAAGCCUCAUCCAGUGAAAGACUUUAGAUGUGUGUCUGUCUUUUGUGAUUCUAGUCGCGAUUUUCAUGACUGCCUCCAUUUUUGGAUGCCCAACUUGGGACACCCCAUAAGUAUGACUUUCAAAAAGUGCUAAGCACCCACUCACUAAAAAUAAGGUCCCUCUAAGGGGCCUUACAGCUGGCAUCCAAAAAAAUCACCAUGCACUUUUGAAAAUUUUGGUGAAAGGCAACGGAGUGUCCAGCCAAGGAGAGAGACUCCCACAAAGAAUUCAGUGAGUGUGUUGCUCUGUCACAGUCAUUUUACGAAGGCAUGAUGGACACUUCUUAAUUCCUACUGUCUUCUUUGUGUCAGCCACGAUUCAACAGAACAGGAAGCUAACAAUUUUGCAGCCAAGAACCAAAGAUCUGAUGAGGAUAGGGACCUGAACGGUGAUAUGAUCUCAAACAAUAAACAACUGAAGAUGCAGACACUGCUGUACCUAUGCUACCACUAACAACAAGUAAACUGAAUAUACGACAAAAAAGUUUUUAAAAAAAUCUGCCUAUUAUAACAGCAAAGGCACCAGAGAGAGAGUCCUGACACCAAUGUGUAGCUGCAUUUGGAAGGUACUGAGAAGGCUUGCAUGCUUUACAUGAUUUUUAUAGUCUCUGGUUAAAAACUUACCAGUUGUUAAGUUGUGGUGUUAAUGCAUCUGACAAGCACUGCUCUUCUAGAUGGUUAUGAGCUUUGGCAUGCAAAAUAUAUCCUAGACCGAAGAUAUUCAAAGACAAGUCUGAAAAGAGUGAAAAAAACUUUCUUCUGCUCUUAAAAAAAUAUAAAUGGGUAUUCCAGUUUUUCUUCAACAGCUUACUUCAGUACUAAUAAGUAACAAGAACAUAAAAAGAUUUACUGUCUGUCCUGACUAGUAGAAAAUAAUUUAUGACCAGUUUUACAUCAGAUGAGUUCAAGAUUGGUCCCUUAACUGCAUGUUUAGAUUUUCCUUUUUAUUAACAAUUUUGUAUGUAGACAGAGCAGUUUAGCUGUGCUUU